rnacentral:snoRNA from 1 species
AUGCCAGCCAAUUAAUCUGCUUAUCUGAAUGUGUUUCUGCAGAAAUUUAGAAAAAGCUGAUAAUAGUGAUGCCAUUUUAUGAGCCUUAAGGAGCUAAGGUCAUUAAGGUCCCUAAAAAUGGCUACAAUA